rnacentral:rRNA from 1 species
UACAGAGGGUGCGAGCGUUAAUCGGAAUUAUUGGGCGUAAAGGGCGCGUAGGUGGAUAAAUAAGUUGUAUGUGAAAGCCCUGGGCUUAACCUAGGAAUAGCAUAUGAUACUGUUUGUCUGGAGUGGAGGAGAGGGCAGCGGAAUUUCCGGUGUAGCGGUGAAAUGCGUAGAUAUCGGAAAGAACACCAGUGGCGAAGGCGGCUGUCUGGACUCACACUGACACUGAGGCGCGAAAGCGUGGGGAGCGAACAGG